CCUACGGGAGGCAGCAGUGAGGAAUAUUGGUCAAUGGCCGGAAGGCUGAACCAGCCAAGUCGCGUGAGGGACGACUGCCCUAUGGGUUGUAAACCUCUUUUAUAAGGGAAGAAUAAAUGCUACGUGUAGCAUGAUGCCUGUACCUUAUGAAUAAGCAUCGGCUAACCAUGUGGCAGCAGCCGCGGUAAUACGGAGGAUGCGAGCGUUAUCCGGAUUUAUUGGGUUUAAAGGGUGCGUAGGCGGUUUUUGAAGUUAGUGGUAAAACGUCGGGGCUUCACCUUGGUUUGCCAUUAAUACUGUAAGACUCGAGUUCAGACGAGGUAAGCGGAAUAAGUUAAGUAGCGGUGAAAUGCUUAGAUAUAACUUAGAACUCCGAUAGCGAAGGCAGCUUACCAGACUGCGACUGACGCUGAAGCACGAGAGCGUGGGUAGCGAACAGGAUUAGAUACCCGAGUAGUC
rnacentral:rRNA from 1 species